GAUUUUGGCGCAAUUAUUUGAGUCUACGGAAGUUGAAAAAUUAGAAAACCUAAGCCCCAAAUUAAAUUUCACUUUCUCUCAUCCCUCGUCUCUACUCUCUCCUCUUUCCAUUACUACUUUUUCUUCAAGCUCCAUUAAUGGAGUUCAAGCAAACUUUGACAUGUUUUUGUUCAAUCCUAGCACAACUUCCGCUAAUAUCUUUUCUCAAAAUUUCGCCUUUUUGUUGAAUUUGUUCGAUAAAAUUUUCAUCUAGAUUUCCUCAAUUUGCGAUUAGUUUCUCGCAAAAUAUCUCCAUAAAUUUCUUCUCGAAUCUUCUCCUUUAUCUUCUGUAACUGUUAAAACCGUGAUUGAAAUCAUCAUUUUCAGUCGAGAAUUUGUAAUCUAAUUUUUCGUUUUUCAUCAAAUUUCAGCUGUAAUACUACUCGAAUUCAUUUUAAUUGUCGGAAUGAAGAUCACAUCUUCGAAUUAUUGAAGUUCGUAUUAAUUGACGAGGUUCAAUCGAAUUUUCUUGCUGUAAGUCGUUUGUGAGAAAUCCCUUCAUUACCGUACAUAAAUUUUUGUUCUCAAUUCCUUUUUUUCUGAAUACCUGCUUUCAUUUCAUUGCUUUUGCUUGAUUUUUCUUAUUACUAGACCAAAACUUUUUGCUGUUUUGACUAAUUAUCCAUAUCAUUACCUAAAACUCACUGAUUGGCAUAUCUUUCCAUUGAUUUAGGCACUCAAAUUUACUCUCCUGCACUCGACUUAUCAUUCUUUGAGAUUUGAUGGUUAAUUAUGUUGGAAUUUAUGAAUCAAUCUUCUAUAUUUUUUAUUUACUAAUUUUGCCUACGUUUUGCGGCGGCGACGAUCUGCCCUUAGCACCUACAAUUGGUUUGCGCACUUACAAUUAGUGGUUUCCCGGCACCUGCAAUCAUCCUUCGGUGCAUUAUCUGCUUGAAAUUCAUUUUCGCCUGCUUCACUGAGUCUAAAUUAAAGGAUCCGCCAUUGACGAUGAUUAUGAGAUUUUAGAAGCUUUCUUGCGGUUUUUUUUCUCUAUAUUGUCAAUUCCACUAACAAUUCUGGGAGGUUUGUACAAUAUUGCUUACUUUUUGGUUGUUUAAUGUUACUUACUGUUACUAGUUGAUACCUCUUUGAACUCCAUUAGGUAAUCUACCUGCACUUUUCUUGGUUUUUUAUUAUUAGUGUGAUUAUGUCCCUCUUAAUUGUUAGGUUGUAUGAGGUUUUAGUGUAAUUGAUUGUUUUCAUGAGGAGCUUUCCUGUUGUUUCUCUGACUUAAUAGGAAUUUGGCUGACUAGAUGGGGGUCGGUGAAACUGGACUAUAUGAUUUCAAGCCUUGUGUGUGACUUGUACAGCUUGAAGUGCAUAUUAGGACAGUUAAUUAGUUUAUUUUGUUUCAGCAUUUGACUAUGAAUAUAGGGUUGCUUAAAAAUUUCCCCAAACUUAAUAUAGUUCUUUUUCCCCAUCUUAUCCUCUUCAUCUAGAUAUUGGGAGCUUAAACCUUCAAUCCCCUCAAUCUGCUCCUUGUGCUAUGCAAAAUGGUGGCAGUUUAGAUCAUGUUGCAGUUGUUACUGUAUUUUGGAGAACUUCCAUUACUCCUUAUUUUCUUAACUUAUUAAACUUUUCUUCAUAUGAUACAUGUAGUCUAUUUUUCCUACUUUUUCUGAGAUAAUCAUCAAAUAGUUUUGGCCACCCCAAUCUCCAUGCAUUAAAAAUCCAAUGAACUAGAAAAAUAAACAAAGGUAGAAGGAACAUCUCUAAAGAAGUGGUAAGCAUCAAUAGUAAAGUUACUACCUUAACCCAAAAAUGAACAAGUUUGUAAGUUGAUAAUUAUUCUGCAAUCCGAGAAAAUCACCAUCUUUUCCAUAUAUUGUUAAAUAGAGAGAAUUAGAUCUACAUAUAUGCUUAAAAGCUUUGUUACAAGGAGUUAGUGGCAUAAGUUAGCUUGACAGGUGGCUUGGUGUAUGGGUGCAUAAUAGAUUGUUGUGCUUGGCAUCAGUCUGUAAUGAAUGCAUCAGCUAGCAAUAAGCAAUAACUAAUCCACUAGAAUGAAGAGGAUGACAAUGACAAAAUGGAAAAACAUUGACAUCUCAUUCUGAAAAGGUUGAUGCUCAGUUUUUGAAUUAAAGUUUUUAACUAACCUGGUACACUCUUUGAAAUUGUUAUGAUUUAUCGUUUUAUAGAUUGCAGCAGAAAAUAUAAGUCUUGUGGUGCUUAAGAAUAGUACAAAUCAGAUGCUUUAUUUCAAUUUGUUAUAUUCGUGACCAGUAACAAGAAAGAGAACUAGCAGGUAAUUACUUUCCCUUCUUAUCUUUUAAUUCCCUCCUACUUCAUAAUUUGUCUAGUGCAAGUCUACAACUCUAUUUAUGUUCUUGACUUUCACCACUUUUGAGUUGAGUUGGUGUUGUUCUCAACCCAGUUUAUAACAAAUUAUCUAUAUAAACGUAUUAUAUGAAUGGCUAACAGUAUACACAAAUUCAUAAGAAAUGUGUUACAUAACAACUUCAUCAUAGAAGACUAUAAACAUAUUAUAUGAAUAACUAUAAAAUUACUUUCAUCUACUGUUGUUGAAGGCUUUACAACCAUAUAUAAAACAUGUGCAGUUGAUUGAUUGGACUUGCAGCUUGAAGCUUAAUCUAUUGCUGGACUUUUGAUCAAGAUAAGCAAAAUGAAGAAUUCAAGUAUCAACUCAUGAUAUCGAGGUCAUUAAAAAAAUAUAUGCAUAUGGCGGGUGGACUAAAGAUGGAUCGGAGAUGAGAUGAUCAUUCUUCACAACAAAACUCCGGGUUGGAAGUAUUGACAAAUUGGCAUACAUGGACUAGGAAGGUGCGUGCAUAUGGCGAGAUGACAGAAGAUGAAGACUAGAUAUAUGACUAUUAGGUCUAAUGUCAGAUUAUCAUAUGAAUAUGUUGCUUGUUGGAAGGUUGUGAUUUUAUAUAGUACAUAAUUUAUUUUUCAUUAGUUUCUUUUUGGAAAUAUAGCACUAGUCGGUGUAUGAAACUAAAUCAUUAUUGUAAUAUAACAUAUAUUAAUUUCUUAUAGUCUGAUUAGUAUUUUUAUUGUAAUUUCAAAUAAAUAUAUAUAUUAAAGAAAAGUGUUACCUAA